rnacentral:rRNA from 1 species
GAUGAACGCUGGCGGCGUGCCUAAUACAUGCAAGUCGAGCGAACAGACGAGGAGCUUGCUCCUUUGACGUUAGCGGCGGACGGGUGAGUAACACGUGGACAACCUACCUAUAAGACUGGGAUAACUUCGGGAAACCGGAGCUAAUACCGGAUAAUAUAUUGAACUGCAUGGUUCAAUAGUGAAAGACGGUUUUGCUGUCACUUAUAGAUGGAUCCGCGCCGCAUUAGCUAGUAGGUAAGGUACCGGCUUACCAAGGCAACAAUGCGUAGCCGACCUGAGAGGGUGAUCGGCCACCCGGGAACUGGGACACGCUCCGGACUCCUACGGGGGGAAGCAGUAGGGAAUCUUCCGCAAUGGGGAAAGGCCUGACGGGGCAACGCCGCGGAAGUGAUGAAGGUCUUCGGAUCGUAAAACUCUGUUAUUGGGGAAGAACAAAUUUGUAAGUAACUAUGCACGUCUUGACGGUACCUAAUCAGAAAGCCACGGCUAACUACGUG